AGCGGAGCCAGCCAGGAUUGCCCUUCGCAGGAGAUACUCAACUUUCAGCCUCUGGGCCCUGUGGAUGUUAGAAGAAUGACAGGAGACAGACACUGUCUGAGGAGAAACCCAACUGCUUUUCCAUAUUGCAGCAACUACUCAACUGCCUCCAGAACUGUCUUUCACCAUCCAGCUUCCAAUUUAUUGUCUGGCCUUGUCGACUUCAGUGUGAUUUGAGCAUGCAGUCGAACUUAGAAACAUCAUUUUAUAUAUUUUUUUUCCCAGACUAAAGGUGGAGGAUCAAGAAGGUAGAAAAAAAUUCCUUCCUUCAGUGUGGGGAUCAAAGUUCUGCCUGGUGGAAGGAGUUAAAAUUGUCCAGAAAAAUGCUGAGGAAGAACUCUUCAGCCACUAGGAAUAGAAGACUUCCUCUUUUUCUUUUCACUCCUCAACUCCAAAAGCAUGAUCAGUAUCUAAAUUUUCACCUCUAAUAUUCUUUUGUUAUUAGUAUUCAAUUGUAAACUCUUAAUAAUUUUAACAAUUACUGGCCU
ensembl:lncRNA